rnacentral:rRNA from 1 species
ACGAACGCUGGCGGCGUGCUUAACACAUGCAAGUCGAGCGGUGAACCACUUCGGUGGGGAUCAGCGGCGAACGGGUGAGUAACACGUGGGCAACAUGCCCCUAGCUCUGGGAUAACCCCGGGAAACCGGGGCUAAUACCGGAUAUGACCUCGAGCGGCAUCACUCGAGGUGGAAAGAUUUAUCGGCUAGGGAUGGGCCCGCGGCCUAUCAGCUUGUUGGUGGGGUAACGGCCUACCAAGGCGACGACGGGUAGCCGGCCUGAGAGGGCGACCGGCCACACUGGGACUGAGACACGGCCCAAACUCCUACGGGAGGCAGCAGUGGGGAAUAUUGCGCAAUGGGCGAAAGCCUGACGCACCGACGCCGCGUGAGGGACGAAGGCCUUCGGGUCGUAAACCUCUUUCAGUAAGGACGAAGCGCAAGUGACUGUACCUACAGAAGAAGCACCGGCUAACUACGUGCCAGCAGCCGCGGUAAUACGUAGGGUGCAAGCGUUGUCCGGAAUUAUUGGGCGUAAAGAGCUCGUAGGUGGUCCGUUACGUCUGCUGUGAAAACUCGGGGCUCAACCCCGAGCCUGCAGUGGAUACGGGCGGACUAGAGUGCGGUAUGGGAGACUGGAAUUCCUGGUGUAGCGGUGAAAUGCGCAGAUAUCACGAGGAACACCGGUGGCGAAGGCGGGUCUCUGGACCGAUACUGACACUGAGGAGCGAAAGCGUGGGGAGCGAACAGGAUUAGAUACCCUGGUAGUCCACGCCGUAAACGUUGGGCGCUAGGUGUGGGGAACUUUCCACGUUCUCCGUGUCGGCAGCUGGCGCAUUAAGCGUCACUACUGGGGAGUACGGCCGCUAGGCUAAACUCAAAUGAAUAGACCGCGA